rnacentral:rRNA from 1 species
CCCUUAGAUGUUCUGGGCCGCACGCGCGCUACACUGACGAAGUCAGCGAGCAUCUCCUACGCCGAAAGGUGCGGGGAAUCUUGUGAAACUUUGUCGUGCUGGGGAUUGAUUUUUGAAAUUCUUGAUCAUCAACGAGGAAUUCCUAGUAAGCGCAAGUCAGCAGCUUGCGUUGAUUACGUCCCUGCCCUUUGUACACACCGCCCGUCGCUACUACCGAUUGAAUGGUUUAGUGAGAUUUUUGGACUGGAACUCUCUUGUUCAGCAAUGAACGAGAGGGACUCUGGGAAGCUACUCUAACUGUAUCAUUUAGAGGAAGUAAAAGUCGUAACA